rnacentral:rRNA from 1 species
AGAGUUUGAUCCUGGCUCAGGACGAACGCUGGCGGCGUGCUUAACACAUGCAAGUCGAACGAAGCUUGAUUACGGAUUCUUCGGAUGAAGUAUGAUAUGACUGAGUGGCGGACGGGUGAGUAACGCGUGAGUAACCUGCCCUUCAGAGGGGGAUAGCGUUUGGAAACGAACGGUAAUACCGCAUAAUGUAUUUUGACCGCAUGAUCGAAAUACCAAAGAUUUAUCGCUGAAGGAUGGACUCGCGUCUGAUUAGGUAGUUGGUGGGGUAACGGCCUACCAAGCCGACGAUCAGUAGCCGGACUGAGAGGUUGAUCGGCCACAUUGGGACUGAGACACGGCCCAGACUCCUACGGGAGGCAGCAGUGGGGAAUAUUGCACAAUUGAUCGGCCACAUUGGGACUGAGACACGGCCCAGACUCCUACGGGAGGCAGCAGUGGGGAAUAUUGCACAAUGGGCGCAAGCCUGAUGCAGCAACGCCGCGUGAAGGAAGACGGUUUUCGGAUUGUAAACUUCUGUUCUUAGUGAAGAAUAAUGACGGUAGCUAAGGAGCAAGCCACGGCUAACUACGUGCCAGCAGCCGCGGUAAUACGUAGGUGGCAAGCGUUGUCCGGAAUUACUGGGUGUAAAGGGAGCGCAGGCGGGUGAUCAAGUCAGCUGUGAAAACUACGGGCUUAACCCGUAGACUGCAGUUGAAACUGUUCAUCUUGAGUGAAGUAGAGGUUGGCGGAAUUCCGAGUGUAGCGGUGAAAUGCGUAGAUAUUCGGAGGAACACCGGUGGCGAAGGCGGCCAACUGGGCUUUAACUGACGCUGAGGCUCGAAAGUGUGGGGAGCAAACAGGAUUAGAUACCCUGGUAGUCCACACUGUAAACGAUGAUUGCUAGGUGUGGGGGGUCUGAC